GGUCCCCGGCGGUGCUCCCCGUCCCGGCGCUCAGCAGAACCAUGUUCCUUCUCCUCGCCCUCCUCGCUGGGCUCGGGAGCGUGCAAGUCCGCCUGGAGUCUGAAGGACUAUUUCUGCAUGUCACAGUUCCACGGAAGAUACAGUCAAAUGAGAGUGAAGUUUCAGGAAACAAGUUGACUUAUGCCAUUACAAUUGAUGGAAAACCAUACACUCUGCAUCUCAGAAAACGCUCAUUCUUAGCCCAGAACUUUUUAGUUUAUACAUAUAAUGAAACUGGAUCUUUGUAUUCUGAGUCUUCACAUUUUAAGGUAAAUUGCUAUUACCAGGGGUACGCUGCAGAGCAUCCCAGUUCAGUUGUGACACUCAGCGUCUGUUCUGGUCUCAGGGGAUUUCUUCAGUUUGAAAAUAUCAGUUAUGGAAUUGAACCACUGGACUCUUCAGCAAGAUUCGAGCACAUAGUUUACCAAAUGAAAAAUUACCAUCCAGAUGUACCAAUGUUCGCGGAAAAUUACAGCCAUAUUUGGCACAAAGACCAGCCGUAUAAAGUUCACUUAGGUGCACAGAACAAGACUCUUUCAAAACUGUCACCCCAGUAUCUAGAAAUGCACAUUAUAGUGGAAAAAGCUUUGUAUGAUUAUAUGGGAUCUGAAAUGAUGGCUGUAACACAGAAGAUUGUCCAGCUUAUUGGUCUUGUCAACACUAUGUUUACCCAGCUCAAAUUGACUGUUAUACUGUCCUCCUUGGAAUUAUGGCCAGAUAAAAACCAAAUUUCUACCAAAGGGGAUGCUGAUGAUGUAUUACAAAGAUUUUUGGCAUGGAAACAGGACUAUUUUACCCUUCAGCCCCAUGACAUAGCACACUUACUCAUUUACAGGGAACACCCUACCUACGUGGGAGCGACCUUUCCUGGGACCAUAUGCAAUCAAAACUAUGAUGCAGGUGUUGCCGUGUAUUCAGAUUCAAUGAGUUUGGAGGCAUUUUCAGUUAUUAUAGCUCAACUGCUUGGCCUUAAUAUAGGACUGACAUAUGAUGACAUCAGUAAGUGUUCCUGUCCCAGAGCUACAUGCAUAAUGACUCAUGAAGCAGUGAGUUCCAGCGGUAUAAAGAGUUUUAGCAACUGUAGCAUGUCUGAAUAUAAAAAUUUUCUUUCAAAAUUUGAGGCUAAAUGUCUUCAGAACCUUUCAAAUUUGCAACCAUUACAUAAAAAUCUACCCAAGUGUGGCAAUGGGAUUUUGGAACCUAAUGAAGAAUGUGAUUGUGGCAAUGAAGAAGAAUGUCAAUUUGAAAAAUGCUGUGACUACAGGACAUGUAAACUGAAAGGCUUGGUGAAGUGUGGUUCCGGGCCAUGCUGCACAUCGAACUGUGAGUUCUCAGUAGCAGGCACUCCCUGUAGAAGGAGUGUUGAUGAAGAGUGUGAUUUUACAGAGUAUUGUAAUGGAACUUCUAAUAAUUGCGUUCCCGACACUUACGCAUUGAAUGGUCACCUGUGCAAGUUGGGAUCUGCAUACUGUUACAAUGGACAAUGCCAAACAACUGAUAACCAGUGUACCAGGAUAUUUGGAAAAGGUGCUCAAGGUGCUCCAUUCGCCUGUUUUAAAGAAGUUAAUUCUCUGCGCUAUAGAUUUGGAAACUGUGGUUUUGAAAACUCACAACCAUUGCCUUGUGAGCAGAAGGAUAUACUCUGUGGAAAAUUAGCUUGUAUUUGGCCACAGAAUGAUACUUACAAAAGCAGUGUUCAAUCAGCAGUUCAUUCACAUAUUCAAGAUCAUGCAUGUCUAUCUGUAACUUCUGAGUUAUCCAUGAGAUCAGUCGGAAGAGACAAUGGCUACGUGGCUGAUGGCACUGUGUGUGGCCUCCACAUGUACUGUGUAAAUAAAACAUGCAGAGAAGCUCAUUCCAUGGGAUAUAACUGUAAUGCCACUGUAAAAUGCAAAGGGAAUGGAAUAUGUAAUAAUUUUGGCAAUUGUCAAUGUUUUCUUGGCCAUAAGCCUCCAGACUGUGAACCCCAGAUCGGCUCACCAGGAGGCAGUAUUGAUGAUGGAAGUGUUCAGGAGUCUGAUAUGUUUCUCACUAAAAAAGGCUCCCAUGCACAUCGUAACAACUGGUUUAUUCUGAGUUUCUACAUUUCUCUGCCAUUUCUCAUAAUGUUCACAAUUGUGAUUGCUAGGAGAAAUGAAUUGAAAGCAUCAUGUAACAGAAAGAAGGCAGAAUAUAAGGGUAAUUCAACCAUUGUACCAGAAAGUUAUGAUGUGAAAUAUUAAUAUUGCCAAGAACUUCACCAGCAAAUAGCCUAGAGAAGAAAAUGUGCUUUAUAAUUCUUAUGUUACCCCUAAAUGCAGCUGAAAUGUCAGCGUUUUGGAAAAUAAAGCCCAUGUGUGCAAAAGAGCAAGCAUCCAUGUGCCUCUGCGUGGGCAGUGAGCUGUGCCUGGGCCAGCUGACCUCUGAGGACCCAAGUAAGUGAGGCACCUGCUGGACAGGAUGGGUGCUGUUUUCGAUGUCAGCCUUCUGAGUCCAGAAGCUCAGGAUCUGAAAGACGACUUCUGCACAUCACGGUGCCUCAGAGGGCUGAGACGGCCACCACGGAC